rnacentral:rRNA from 1 species
UACGUAGGGUGCGAGCGUUGUCCGGAAUUACUGGGCGUAAAGAGCUCGUAGGUGGUUUGUCGCGUUGUCCGUGAAAACUCACAACUCAAUUGUGGGCGUGCGGGCGAUACGGGCAGGCUGGAGUACUGCAGGGGAGACUGGAAUUCCUGGUGUAGCGGUGGAAUGCGCAGAUAUCAGGAGGAACACCGGUGGCGAAGGCGGGUCUCCGGGCAGUAACUGACGCUGAGGAGCGAAAGCGUGGGGAGCGAACAGG